rnacentral:piRNA from 1 species
ACUUGUAGAAAACACCACGGCAGC